CCUACGGGAGGCAGCAGUGAGGAAUAUUGGUCAAUGGGCGGGAGCCUGAACCAGCCAAGCCGCGUGCGGGAAGAAGGUACAGCGUAUCGUACACCUCUUUUGUCAGGGAACAAAGGCGGGGACUCGUCCCCGGAUGCGGGUACCUGAAGACAAAGCAUCGGCUAACUCCGUGCCAGCAGCCGCGGUAAUCCGGAGGGUGCGAGCUUUAUCCGGAUUUAUUGGGUUUAAAGGGUGCGCAGGCGGCCUGUUAAGUCAGAGGUAAAAGCCCGGGGCUCAACCCCGGCGAGACGUUGAAACUGGCGGGCUGGAGUUGGAGAGAGGUACGCGGAAUGCGCGGUGUAGCGGUGAAAUGCUUAGAUAUCGCGCAGAACCCCGAUUGCGAAGGCAGCGUACCGGCUCCACACUGACGCUGAGGCACGAAAGCGUGGGUAUCGAACAGGAUUAGAUACCCCUGUAGUC
rnacentral:rRNA from 1 species